rnacentral:rRNA from 1 species
UACGUAGGCAGCAAGCGUUGUUCGGAUUCAUUGGGCGUAAAGGGUGCGUAGGCGGCUUCCUAAGUUUGAUGUGAAAUCCUGGGGCUCAACCCUGGAACUGCAUUGAAUACUGGGAGGCUAGAGUACUGGAGAGGAAACUGGAAUUUACGGUGUAGCAGUGAAAUGCGUAGAGAUCGUAAGGAAGACCAGUGGCGAAGGCGAGUUUCUGGACAGUUACUGACGUGAGGCACGAAGGCCAGGGGAGCAAACAGG